UGGGGAAUAUUGCACAAUGGGCGCAAGCCUGAUGCAGCAACGCCGCGUGAGGGACGACGGCCUUCGGGUUGUAAACCUCUUUUGGCAGGGAAGAAGCGAAAGUGACGGUACCUGCAGAAAAAGCACCGGCUAACUACGUGCCAGCAGCCGCGGUGAUACGUAGGGUGCAAGCGUUGUCCGGAAUUAUUGGGCGUAAAGAGCUCGUAGGCGGUUUGUCGCGUCUGCUGUGAAAACCCGAGGCUCAACCUCGGGCCUGCAGUGGGUACGGGCAAACUAGAGUGCGGUAGGGGAGAUUGGAAUUCCUGGUGUAGCGGUGGAAUGCGCAGAUAUCAGGAGGCACACCGAUGGCGAAGGCAGAUCUCUGGGCCGUAACUGACGCUGAGGAGCGAAAGCAUGGGGAGCGAACA
rnacentral:rRNA from 1 species